rnacentral:rRNA from 1 species
GACGAACGCUGGCGGCGUGCCUAAUACAUGCAAGUUGAGCGAUGAAGAUUGGUGCUUGCCCCAAUUUGAAGAGCAGCGAACGGGUGAGUAACGCGUGGGGAAUCUGCCUUUGAGCGGGGGACAACAUUUGGAAACGAAUGCUAAUACCGCAUAACAACUUUAAACAUAAGUUUUAAGUUUGAAAGAUGCAGUUGCAUCACUCAAAGAUGAUCCCGCGUUGUAUUAGCUAGUUGGUGAGGUAAAGGCUCACCAAGGCGAUGAUACAUAGCCGACCUGAGAGGGUGAUCGGCCACAUUGGGACUGAGACACGGCCCAAACUCCUACGGGAGGCAGCAGUAGGGAAUCUUCGGCAAUGGACGAAAGUCUGACCGAGCAACGCCGCGUGAGUGAAGAAGGUUUUCGGAUCGUAAAACUCUGUUGGUAGAGAAGAACGUUGGUGAGAGUGGAAAGCUCAUCAAGUGACGGUAACUACCCAGAAAGGGACGGCUAACUACGUG